rnacentral:rRNA from 1 species
GUGCCAGCAGCCGCGGUAAUACGUAGGUCCCGAACGUUGCGCGAAUUUACUGGGCGUAAAGGGUCCGUAGGCGGUCUGGUAAGUGGAAGGUGAAAUCCUGGGGCUCAACUCCAGAAUCGCCUUCCAAACUGCCGGACUUGAGGCAGGGAGAGGUCGGCGGAAUUCCCGGUGUAGCGGUGAAAUGCGUAGAUAUCGGGAGGAAAACCAGUGGCGAAGGCGGCCGACUGGAACUGACCUGACGCUGAGGGACGAAAGCCAGGGGAGCGAACCGGAUUAGAUACCCGGGUAGGCCUGGCCGUAAACGAUGGAUGCUAGAUGUGGGCGGGGAGACCCGUCCGUGUCGCAAGCUAACGCGUUAAGCAUCCCGCCUGGGGAGUACGGCCGCAAGGUUGAAACUUAAAGGAAUUGACGGGG